CUUUCUGUUUCUUUUUUCUCACUAAUUUUCUAAUUUCGCCCCUCUUCUCAAACCCUCUACAUCCUCUGUCUUGUGCCCUCCCAAUCUCUGAGCCCAAACCCUCACUUGCUCUCUCUCAUCUAGAAUCCCUCUUCCUCUUCAUUCUCAAACUUCACACCUGAACCCUCUCUCUCUCUCUCUCUCAAUCCCUUUUUAUAUUCUCAAGAUUUUAGACUAAACUUUAUCCAAAAUUGGGGAAGAAUCUGAAUCAUCCAUCUCUUCGUUCUCAACAUCUUACAGCCUCCAUUUCAUGUGAAUUUCCUUCCUUUCUCCUUAAUUUAUGUCUGUCAUACUGAGAAAUAAUAAAACCCCAAAAUCCCAAAACCCAAACUGCUGCCUUCCUUCCAUAUUGGUCUCAGUUCUAUGGAAAAGUAAAAGGUAUGCUUUGAUUGUUGUUCUUGGUAUUUUGAUGGGUCAGAGGGUUGGGAAUGGUUUUGGGUUUGGUUAUGUUGGCGGUAAUAAUUUGGUGGUGGACCUAAACCCGAUUCCGUACGCAAUCGGGCCUCCAGAUCCGAGAUUUGAAGUUGGGGCUGUGUAUGAGACCUCGAAAGAGGUCUCUUCAAUGCCAAAGGUUCAACCUUUGUCUUCUGUGGUGGCCAAGUGGUGCGGAGAAGUGCAGCUUCUUUGGGCUACCGCAAUGAGGAUCAGGGUGUGGAGGUUUGGGCAGUGCACAGAAAGGGGAGCUCAGCUGGUGGUGGUAUUUUCAUGGAAUAUGGUAUUAUCAUAUUGAUUUGACACUCAAGCUUUCAUUUUAGAAGCAAAACAAGAAAUUGUGCACACCUGCUCUCUGGAUGAAACAGAGCUUCACAAUUGCUUACAAGAACGGGAGUCUAUUGGUCUUCUGGACAGAGGGCCUAUCUGUCAACAUACUCAUGUACCCCUUUUUAUUUCGUGCUCUAGUUACUUGUAUAAAUGUCACAAAGAAGAGAAAUAUUCAAUACUAAAUAGGGGAAGUAAUCUUUCUCUGGAUUGGUGAAAUAAAUAUAUGUGUUUGUGUGUAUAAUAUUGGUGAAUUUUGUCUACUUGAUUUUAUUAAUGUAUCAGAACUGAUGCAUGUAGAUAGUUGCAUGAGUAGUUUAUUCAUUACAAUGAUGUUUGUGGGUUCCUAAAGCAUUUCCAUAGACUUGUAUUGUCAAUGUAUUUUUUUUCUGCCACUCAAUUUCAGUUGAGAGUGUUCCAUCUGGAGAGGCCAGGCUUAGGAUUGAAGGAAAUUGCACAAGAAUACAAUAUGAACUGGGAUUCUUCUAACACUGAAGUUGGCAGUAGCAUAUUGAAUUUGGAAUUCUUCUAACAAUCAGGCACUUCACAUCCAAUUCAUUGGCUCAUCAGCUUUAGCCCAACUUAUCAAGUUUCUAGAUCAUGUUCGACAAGGGUUUUGAAAUAUAAUUAUAGACAUAGUACAGUUUCCCUCUACUUCCAUGUGGAUAAGUGUAACUCUGACAAUGAAUCUAUCAAUCUUUGUAAUAUGUGUGGAGUUAUUUUUUGAAUGAAAGUUCUUUAUUA